UGUAACAUAUUUUAGUACUAUGUAGGUCUACUGUAUGUAUUACUGUAUUAACUACUAUUAUUUCAUACUAAUAUUACUACUACAUUUACUAUUAGUAGUAGUAGUAGUAUGUGUAAGAAAAAUAAUAUUGCACGUUCUUUUUAUUGUACUUUACAAAUCUCAAAGUGCUACCACAGACAAUAUCAGUAACACAAUAACAGUGUAACAAUUAGAAAUAAGUUCUGUAAUAAUUACAAAUAAGAUCUUUGGAAUAAAAUGUGGCCUUGAGUUUAUUUUCAUCAAAAUAUCAAGUAAUCUGCGUAGAAUUGACAAUAUGAGCUCUGUUGGGUUGUCUAAAUAAUUUGCGUGUGACUUGUGUAUUUUUUCCCAGAUGGAUAUUGCAAUUGAAAAAGGGGGGUCUCUGCUGCAGUCAUUUCCACUGUCCAUUUUGUGAUGCCUCAGUUUUCCAACCAACACGGUUGGCAAAAGUGCAAACACAUCUGCAGGCACAUUUCAAUUGAUCGGUCCAGCAUGAAGAAUUUACAAUACACAGAUGUGGACACCUCUGCAGAAGUCAACCACAUUAUCACUGCCUCUACUGCAAAUCAACAAUUUUAAGAAAACCUGAUUUUAUUAAACAUUUAGCACUCUGCAAACAAAAACACCAACCACCAACCUCUCACACUAAAGCCAACUUCUGCCACAGCUCUGCCCACCAUUCAUGUUGGAUUUUUGUGUUGCACAACAUUUUUGGGCCCAUAAGACAUUGUGCCCAGGGGCCUCUGAAUUCUUAAUCUGGGCCUGAUUAUUAUUUUUAUUUUUUUAUUUGUUUUCAUUAUAGAAACUUGAGGAUGCUGAAGAUCCCGACUGCAGCGACAAUCAACAGAGAUCCAGCAGCAGCAGCAAUCAACACUAUCAGAGAUACAGAGUCUUCUGGAGGACCUGAAGGAGAGAUUGGUGUGAUUAUUAAGAGAAGUGAAAGCGUCAGCGCAGGUUCUGCCAGGAAAACUAACGAGCACAUGUGCCAUAUCAAAGUACCGCAAGAGCAAAACGAGACCAACCGCCGAGGUCAGGCGCUGCAGUUGCUCAAAAUCGGCUGCGAGAGCCUUGAUGACGACACACUUUAUCCUCAAUGGUUUUUAAAUAUUUUUGACGUCUUUCAGCAUCCGUCUUCAUCUCUACAUCAACCUACACCAUGAUAAGAUAGCAAGCACACUCGGGCCGAUUCUGGCUGAAAUGCGGCACAGUCGGCUCAGUCUCGGCAUCAGUGAGAAGAUAAUGGGCCAGAGUCGCGCCAACUCUACAAAACACUUCUGGCUGACAGACGGCUUUUUCUCUCUGGGCCGAUCUCGGCUGAAAGCUGUUGUACGGGCAGCAGGUACUACACUCGGUGUAGUUGUGUGUAUACCUCUGGCCCGAGUUGGUUUUGUCUCCGGCGGGCCACUGCUAGAAUGAAUGAACUCAGCCGCUGAGAGAGAGAUUUGGCGGUUAAUCCUGAGGAGCUUUCGGCAGGCGCAGUUCUCAAGAGGAAUACUUCAGCUGCAAAAAGAUACCUUAAAGGAUUUUUAUGCUGCACUAAUUAGGGUUACAGUAAUCAGCUGAUCCAGUUGUAUCCAGACCAGAUGGUGGACCUGCACCCAGGAGCGACCACAACACAUCCCUGAAUGUCAGUGGAGACCAUGUCAGCUAGACGGGGGAGAUGUAUGUUUGUGACUUGAAGGGUGAUCUAGGGCCUAUAUAAGGGGAAAUGGGCUUCAAAAUCAUGAUAUAGUAGAAUGUUAUUUACUUCCUCACCAUGUAUGGAAAAACACAGCUACAGAGAACUUGUGAGCUUGUAACCUUGAGUGCCUAGAGUGUAUAAAGGUGGUGGAGCGUCCUCACCGUUUGUCGCACUCUGCAGAAACCUGUGUGUCUGUAUGACUGUUGACCUUUGCAAAGAAUAAAACCUUUUUAAAGACUAAGAGUGAGUUUGUCUCUUAUGCUGGCGAGAGUUAUUUAAAAUUGCCCCAACAUU